rnacentral:misc_RNA from 1 species
AAGUCGUAACAAGGUUUCCGUAGGUGAACCUGCGGAAGGAUCAUUACAAAUCCAUCCACGUCUCAUUCUUGAGACCACGUUGAAAUGUUCCCUGGUGAGCCUCCUCGACACGCUUUUCAGCCUUCACCGGCAGUCAGGUCCGUCUUGGGGCGCGCUAGGCUUGUAAACUAGUACCAUCUGUUGCUCAAAAGUAUUUUCUUGAUGUUAUCAUCAAGGCAAACAAAGUACAACUUAUAACAAUGGAUCUCUAGGCUCUU